rnacentral:tRNA from 1 species
AGAAGCUUAGUUUAUUCAAAGAAUAAUAGGUUGUCAAUCUUUAGGUCCUUUUUUAGGGAGUUUCUG